rnacentral:misc_RNA from 1 species
AAAAAAAAAAAAAAAAAAGAGGCUGUACACUGAAAAUUCUAAGUUACUUCUUCUGAGGAAGCCCCACAUAAUCUUUUGUUCUUGAUUUCACCUCAUAUUAUUCAAACAAAAGACAGGACAUAUCAAAUGUUUAUGUUCGCUCAGAUGCAAAAAGAAAUCAGCAACGCGCUAUAACACCAACCAGAUCCUGAUAAACUUAAUAGAUCACUGCCCAUGAAUUGGAAUGGUCAGCAUGCUCAAAACGCUACUGGGAACAGAUUUGACUGAGAUGCAUCUUUCUUACAUACUAAGCAACGAAUUUGUUACAAAAGAAAUAAAAAAAUACAAUAUCUGAAAGAAAUAUGAAUUUCCCUAAUCAACAACACUGUUAAGUACAGAUGCCAAUACAUCUUCGGCUUUCAAAAAUUUGGUCCCAAUUGCCCCUUCAAAAAGCCACAUCAAUAUACCAGCAAUCCAUACACAAAAGGAGUAAUCGAUGCAAAUAGAGCAACUCAACUUCUCCUGUUAUAAUGAAUUAGGCCAAAAGACAACAUAGAUACAAGAAUAUUUUUCAAAAAUGAACCUAUUUCACUGAAUACUUGCACAUUAACUAUCAAUAUUUUGCACCAUGUCUCACCAAGGAAAUAGUUUUUCUAAAUGACCUAUAAAAAUAAAUUUUUGUACACAGCAAUAGAGAAAAAAUCAGCCAGAAAAUUCAAUGGCUCAACACAGCAUCUCCCAGAUAUUACAGGCACUUGUGAUGUUCAUUGUCUAAAACUUCCCUUAAUGCCUUCCAUCAUAUUUUUUUAUCAAAGCAAUAGGUGGAACUCUUGAUUGCCAAUGUAGCUUCUUUUACUUAAUAGGUUCAUUUGUAACUGAAAAUUUUCUAAUCUGAUUCAGGAUUAUUAAUUUGCCAUAGGUUAGAUGCGAGCCACGCUCCUGAUCUAAGUCAGAAGGCCAAAUUGCCCAACAGUUAAAUUGGUUCCAAAAUGACCUAUCCACACUUGAAAUUUGUUAAAAGCUAAAUUUGGUCAAUUCCACAUAUCAUUAAGAUCCAUAAGUUGAUUGAUGAAUUGAUAUGGAGCAAGCAAGGCAAGACAACUCGACAGACUCUAGAAAUUAAGUCUAUUAUCUAAGGCUCUAAAAAAUAAAACCAAAUUGCCAAUACCAAACAGCAAAUUUAGAAUAUUUCAGAGAGUAAAAUAUAGGAGCAUAUGUAUGCAGCUGAAUGAUUUUAAUUUUCAAAUUCCAAAUUUUCAAGAUCUUCCAAAAAAAAAAAAAAG